rnacentral:rRNA from 1 species
AUUGAACGCUGGCGGCAGGCCUAACACAUGCAAGUCGAGCGAGUGGCGGACGGGUGAGUAAUGUCUGGGAACUGCCUGAUGGAGGGGGAUAACUACUGGAAACGGUAGCUAAUACCGCAUACUAUCGGAUAACCCAUAUGGGAUUAGCUAGUAGGUGAGGUAAUGGCUCACCUAGGCGACGAUCCCUAGCUGGUCUGAGAGGAUGAUCAGCCACACUGGGAUGUGGACACGGCCCAGACGCCUACGGAGGCAGCAGUGGGGAUUAUUGCACCAUGGGCGCAAGCCUGAUGCAGCCAUGCCGCGUGUAUGAAGAAGGCCCUAGGGUUGUAAGGUACUUUCAGUCGGGAGGCGUUACCGACAGAAGAAGCACCGGCUAACUCCGUGCUAGCAGCCGCGGUAAUAC